rnacentral:rRNA from 1 species
UACGUAGGUGGCAAGCGUUGUCCGGAUUUACUGGGCGUAAAGAGCGCGCAGGCGGUCGUAUAAGUCGAAUGUGAAAGCCCCCGGCUCAACUGGGGAGGGUCAUUCGAUACUGAUCGACUCGAAGGCAGGAGAGGGUAGUGGAAUUCCCGGUGUAGUGGUGAAAUGCGUAGAUAUCGGGAGGAACACCAGUGGCGAAGGCGACUACCUGGCCUGUUCUUGACGCUGAGGCGCGAAAGCUAGGGGAGCAAACGGG